GACCUGAUGGCGUCGCUGGUGCGGCGGUCGGUCCGCAAAACCGAAUCCCGGAAACGGGCAAAGGGUUCAAUUCCCUGUCAGGUCU
rnacentral:tRNA from 1 species